AGGUGACAGUCAUUUUCAGAAAAGAAAGGAACAAUACAAACAUGGCGGGAGCAGGUAUAAAGAGGGUUCAGUAGUCCAGCUGAGAAAUGUGGGGUGUCUUCACAGCAGGGUGGGGGCUGACCACAGGGAGUGUACUGUUUGUAUCAAUAACAUGUUCAAUUUGAGAUAAUUAAGUGGCAACCACUAAUUAGUUGAAAUUACUAUGAGGCACCUGGUAUGGUCAGUCUCAGGACACAUGCAGAUGUGGUAAGAAAGCAUGUUUGUACUUACAAAGAUGGUAGAAUAGAUACACUUUGCAUCUCUAUGUCUAACCAUCUCAAAUGUGAUGCAAUACAUGAAAAAUAAGAGAAUAACAGUCUAUUUAAUAGAAUUACCCCAAUAUCACAUGAAAGAAAGUCACUCACCCUAUAGCUGGCCCUACCACCUGCUAAUAAGCUGUUUCAGAGGAAGGGUGGGUGGGCAUUACCAGGUUGCUCCUAGAUUGUACCACUGCGUGGCAGCUGCAUUGGCUUAAAGUAUCAACUUAAUACUGAUAGCACUGUUGGAGCUUUUUAAACCAUACAAAUCAUGUUACUGUGAGAAAUCCCGGCCACUACUACCCCCACCCCAUCCUCUGCUUGGAGAAUAACUUUUAACCACAUACAUGUAUGAAAGGAUAAUCAGACAGGUGGUCCAAAAGGACAUAACAAUUUUCUUUUACACAGCCAGUUUUUCUCACCUGCUCCUAAAGAUAUCAUCUUUGAAUGUGUGCAAUAAGUAAGAAAACAAUACCUUUUCAUACCAAAAGACGAUAAUGUUAGAAGUGAAGUAAGGAAAUUUGGAAGCUUCUUUUAAUUUUUGUAAGAGGGUAUUCAUCACUGUCCUCCCUUGGGCCAGGGAGCUUGAGCAGAGAGUCAGAAAACAAUUCUCCAACCCAACAUCUGCUUGGAGAUUACAAAUGUGUCUUAUUCCUUUUUCAAUAAACUAACAUCUUUAUUACAUGACUCUCACAUCAAGAAAAGCUGUGGUUAUUUUAGACCAGAGCAUGAUUUGGCCCUAACAAAUGACAAAACCCACAGACAACAUAUUUACAUUCAGGACCAGCUUUUAUGCAUUGUUAUGUUUCGGGCAUGAGGAAUGAGAAUUGCCCAAUUUUCUUCUUCAGUGUUUCUAUUGUUAGAAGGACCCUUUGUUAUGAUUGACCUAUGAUUAAAGUGCUGGCUAUUAUCUGUCACCCUGGCGACCCUCAGAUGUCAGGCUCACACAGGUGCGCUGCAGGGAUGUACCAAUGUCAUGGGGGAAGGAUAUUUCUUGUCAGCUAAGUUAACUCAAGUGUUUAGGUACAGCUUUUUAUAGUAAGACCUUAGAGUGUUUCCUUUAUCAAAUUAAACAAACUUUCUGUGUCAUAUUGUACAGUUGUGCAGUUUUAAUUAUAAAGAUUGACCUUGUAAGUUGUAGCAUGUCUCUCAAGCUACAUGUAACAUUAUGGCCCAAACUGGAGUGAAAUAGAAUAAAGAUCCAGUGCAACAAUCUUUGUGAUCAGCUUUGAUAAUAAUCAUUUUGAAACCAUAAAGUCAACACAUAUAAACAAAUAGCAUGAUAUUACAUGUCUAGACAGCUAUUUAAAAUGACUUUGAAGAAUGAUACAAAAAGAACAGUAGACCUUGAAGAACUGGGCAUUUAUAUAAUAGUGUACAUGGUGGUGUAAUUGGCUGUGUGAAAGUGCCUCCACAGGUGUGAUGCCAUGAAUGCGUGAUGAUCAUUCCUCACUUUUGUCCCUUUUUAUUCGAAAAAAAUACACUUUUGAAAAAGGAGCUGACUUGGAUAAUACAAGUCUACUCAUUAAAAGAGUGGUAAUUUUUUAAUCUCCUUGGUAAGUGUGAGAAUUAAAAGGGACUAAAUUUCAUUAAACUAAUCCAUGGAUAAGGGGGUAAAAUUAAAGAAGCAAAGCAGGAGGUUAGGUGUAAAAUUGAAACAUAAAUAAAACACAGUAUGAAUGACUAUGAACGUUGAAAUAUUGCUGACUGUAACAGUCGUAACAAGUUGUUCAACUGUGCUCCCCACCUGGUGUGUCAGCAGGCAUAUGACAAAUGACUGAGGGCAUUUUAGGUUCAGUAAACUGUCCCUUUCUGUUCUGUCAAUGGGAUCUUAAUUAAGGUAUGCCUCCUAAUUGUCCUUAACGACCCACACCUGAGGAUCGCACCACAGGUGUGGAGACGUCAGCAGGCAGCCAGGUGCCUACAGGGCUCUGAGGGAGAGUCACAGAGAUAUUAUGUUGUCACAAGAUGAUUAAUGGAUAAUGGUUUACUCAGACAGGCAGCAGAGGGAUGCUUUUGUGCUGUGAAAGGGUGGGGGUGCGAUGAACUUGCGUCUAAUGUUUCCUACCUGAUGAUUACAGUCUUUGGCCGGUGAUCCACUCCCAUAACUUCUGUGUUCCUCCGAAUCAUUAGAAGACUUCAUCUUUAAUAUACCUUAAUGUCCUGCAAGGAUCAAGUCUUCAGUGAUUAAAAGCCCUUGAUGAGCCUAGGAUAAAUCUAUCUGCCUGGGGUGGAACAAUUUUGCUCUUUUGAAGCACCCUGAGGUGUGUACCAUCAGCCUACUACCUUGCUACCAUCCUUGUCCCUCAACACCUACAAAUUGGCUCAUCUCUCCAGGGCAGCAACCCAAGGAAUAACUCCAUUAUGGUCAAAGUUGCUUCAAGGACAGGAGCUGCCAGACUUCGUUGAUUAGCUGUAGCCAUAUGUUGUCAUGUAUACCUGUGGGAACUGUAUGGGAGUGUGUAAUGAUAACUGGAUCUCAUUUCUGGCCUAGCCCAGGUGCCAUCUUGCUGUUUACAAAGAUCUACUAGGGCUCCAACAAUACUAGACCAUUAUAGUUGGUAGGGGGAGUGUGGGAGCCCCAGUUACUAGGAUGGCACCCAGGCUACAUAGCCUGAAUACCAGACCCCAGCCUGAUCUCAAAAAUAUCUAUUGAGAUCGGGCUGGGGUCUGGGAUCCAGGCUAAGGCUACAUGGAUGAUAUUUGUUGUUGUAACAUUUGUUGGGAAGAUUCUGUGACCUGUCCUGUCACAUCAUAAUUUGUAAUGACUAAUCAUUAUUCCAUAACUUUAAGUGGGUGAAGAUAUGUAACGUUGUAGCAUAGGUUGGGUAGUCAUAAAGUCAUAGGUUGGGUAGAAAUAAUCGUUAGAGCAUCUACAAUAAAGAACCUCGCAGCUGUUGCACAGCAUUAUAUGUGGGGCAAAUGUGUCUAUAUAAAUAUAUCUACUUAUAGGUAUGCAGCUUGACAGAGUAAUGAUAAUGUUAUGUGUUAGGUAAAGCAAUUUGUUUAAACUACUCAGCAUACAAUAGCAGGAAGUGAUAUUUUGUGUGGCACCUGUAGAAUGUGAAAUGUUUGAUACUAUCUCAAACUAUUCUGUGUUGUGAGAGUCACAAAGACUUUGUUGACAUAACUAGUACCAUUUAUCAACAUUUUACUCUUAGCCAAUCACUCAAAGUUUGUUUUUCUAUGUUUUCAGAUCAUUUUAAGGAUAGCAAUGUGUAUUUUGUCAACAAGUAAUAUACAGCACACACUUGUGUUUGUAGUGUUGUAUUGUUAGUUCAUGUGGGAAAAGAUUCAGCUUGCUCCUUCAUUCAAGUCAGGCCAUGUGCCAUCCAUCCCCUAUUAAAGUUUGCUCAUACAUA